UGACGUUCGAUGGAAACAGGGAGAGCCGUUAGAUCGAGGCCGAACACUUUGGUGAGGGUUCUUCCGUUCCGUCGUGGGCCGUUCUCACGCUUCCUCGUCAUAUAUAAUACUGUAGGCGAAUGAGCUCUCCGGCGAGGUCAUCGGCGUCGGCGGCGAGCGCGGGCCCCGGGGGCGGCGGAAGCAACGCCGGAGCCGGAGACGACGGCGGCGGCAGUGGCUCCGCCUAUCAGUUCCCCUCCGAUCCCAUCUCCGCCCUCGAUCGCAAGGACGAAGCCCUCGCCGCGCUGAGAUUGGAGGUAACGGCGGCGCUUCAGAAGGAGGUGAAGUCGUUGGAUGAGGAUAGUUGGAUGUUCGCUGGCCCUCGCUCUCGAAUCAACCUGAUUUCAAAAACUGGCGGGUACCAACUGAAACGAGCUGGAAGGCAGGGAGAGAUGAACCAACAAGUGAAGCAAAAGAGAAAUUUUUGGUAAGUUAAAAUGCCGAAUGAUUUGCCACGGGGUGGUUCGGGUUUACGCCUAACAUAGACGCAGUUUCUCAUCUGUUCUUGUGCUUGUAUGAAUUGUCGCAUGUAGAUUUGCUACUUUACCUGUUGAUUUUGCCGUUGAGUACGCAUUAGCAAGUAAUGAAACUGCGUGACUGAAAAAUGUUUUGCUGAGAUUCCCUGCCGAGUGUUGCAUUACAAGGGCAACCACUAUUUCAGUAGAGGUGAAUGCCGAGUUGAAUACUAGCGUGUAGGAAUACCCUUAUACAGCCAAAAAAAAUGUAUAGAUAUUUGGAAUUUGGAUUAAAGUGUCUUAAUUUUAUUUCUUCAA